UAGAAUCAAUCGAUUUGAAGAGAGCGGAAAGUAAAGUCCUAUUCAGGCGCUCUCCAGAUAUGAAACAUUUAUAGACCGUUUGUUCAGUCUUUUUUUUAUAAUUUAAAAAUUCAGCUUUUGAGCUAUUUUUUUGGCAAAGAAGGGUUUGAAACCCUUCUUUGUUCUGGUUAUUGUUAAUUGUUAUAACUACCUCAUCGUAAUAUACCGAGCAUCCAGACCAAUCGCCUCGCCAGUGCAAAUCAAGGACGUUUUACCUAACCAUCCACCCAGAGCCGGACCAACAGGAAGAAGACCAGCCACUAACAACCGCAAGUAGCCUAAUUAAACUUACGAGUAGCAAGUUAACAGCAAUUAAAUAAAGAAAGUUAGCCGGUGCAUGUGUGUACAUUAUUUUUUCUUCGAUAUCAGAACAGUUUUAUUGUUCAUUUCCUUUUUGAUAUCGAAAUACGGCACAACCAAUAUCUCUUUGUUAAUGGAAUAUCUUAAAAUAUAUACUUAAUAAUGUGGUAAACUGCGCCAUUUCUCACUCACACACUCACAUACUUGAUUCUUGAAGUUACAAAAGUAUGUCAACUAAUGUCAUUCAUGGUGGCUCGACGCAUUCCAUUUGCUUAUUAACGUAAAAUAAAGUUAUAAACAUUGGUUGUGUUCGUUUGUAACGUACCCUUUACAUAGUAUACUUAUUAGCAAGGAGAAUAUGGUUACUCUAAGAGCAAAAAUUCAAUUUACUCGUAGUGGUCACCGCAUUGCCAUUAGAAGGAAACGAAUUGACACGAAUGUCUUAUGCUGGUCUUAUGGAACGUUUGUUUCUCGUACACGACUGGAAUUUGUCCAACAGCCCGAUGGAUCCUUUGUUUUCGGAACUACCUUGACACAUCCAACGUAACUACCAAAUACACCAGUUGUAAGUGUUGGUGGUGCCAUCGGCAGUAUCGAAGAAUUCAGGAUAAAUACCCAUUGGAAUAUCCACAGUGAGCGGCUUGAGUAAUGCAUAAGUGCACAUUUCGUUGUUGAGCAGCGAAAGGUUUCUGGUGCAUCUAACUACGGUAAUGGGACCAGAGGGUUUAUAAGGCAUUGCGCUACUUACAUAACCCAGUUCUGUCCCAAGAUGAAACGUACGCCGAGUUAUGUGAGGUCAGAAUUACACCUUCUACAAAAGGUCUCCCAUAUUUUUCGGAACUUUCCCCAGAAAAACUCAAGACCUGCAAAUCCUUCGGAAUAUUUCGUAGGGAAAUAAAAAAGUUUGUAACUAUGUGGAUGGAUAUGGAUGAAGAAAAUGCAAACCGUGAUACUUUCUACUCUAACUUUUGUGGUAACCUAUACCUGUGUGAUAUGUGUAUGCUUUUAUAUUUUAUCUUUACACUUUGACGCCUCCUAAUGUACGUUCAUUGUGGGCCGAAGGAAUCGGUAAUAAAUAAAAAAAUCAAUC